GUUUUCCUUUUCUCACAGCUGCUUUACUUCAAUUUCCACUGUCAAAAAAAAAAAACAAAAACCCGAUGAACACGAGCUUGUUUCGUCAUUCUUGCCAAGUCGAAUCAGGGAUGGAUUUGGAGACAGCAAUCAAUUUGGCAAUGGAAUUGAAGAUGGGCCGCAACUAUAUUCUUGUCCAGAAAGGAUUUCAGAGCCUGCAAUUGAGAUUUCUGCACACAAAAUGGGUGAGGAUUUCGUCCUUUAUUUUACUCCUUGGCUUGAUCCGUGUACAACAAAACUGAAAUUUUCUUCUUGAUUCUCUUCAUCGGUGACUCUGGGCUUUGAAUGUUGUUUUCUGGUGUUGAAAUUUUAUCGCGGUGAGUUCGAACAAGGCAAAAGUGUGUUGUUUACUUUGAGUUGCUGGCGCAUCGAAAGCAAGGCUCCUGUCUUUGACUCCAGGUGCUAUAAGGAAGACACGCAUAGACUAUUGCUGACAUCGAGAGUAACAAUUCACUUUCUUCUCUUUCCUUUUGCUUUGUGCUUUUGUCAAUUUCUGCAAUUGUCUUAUUGAUUUCAAUUAAUUGAAACCUGCAUGCUCAAACUGGAGCCACCGCCAAGCUUUAUUUGACUUUUCAAACUUGAUUAUAAAACCAAUGCCAAACUAUUGUUCUUUUUUUCUAUGACGGCACCUCAUCAAGUUUGUAACUUGGUUGUCUCAUAUCAUUGCUAAUUAAGCUUUUGAAUUGUGCAUAGCUUAAUUAAACUUCCCCACAUGGCCUGCAAUAUUACCAGAACACACAUUUUUUAUAUUGCUUUGUGCUUUUGUAAGUUUCUGGAAUUGUUUUGACAUGCAAGAACAAUGUUCUCGGUGAAGACACACUGCACCCCAUUGCAACUUCAGGACCCUGACAAAUACCCUUUUUUGUAUGCAAGUACAGAACAACGACAACAGCUGCAGUGUCAUAAAUUGUCGAAAGUUCCAGAGCCUUGAUUCCGAAGGUGAAUCCUUCGUUAAUUUCUUUUAGUUUCUUUGCACCGCUUUUGUGUUACUUGAAUUGGUGCUCUUGAAAAUAAAGUAUGGACUCGGGGAAGGCUUUUUGGCUUUUGUGUUUUGAAAGGAUGCAGGGGGUAAUUAUAUGUGGUGUUUAAGUGAAGUUGACAGAGUUCCUGUUAUCAUUUUUCUGUUGAAUCACGACCCUAUAUGGAAGCAAGGUCUGGAUGGUGAUCCACAAAGGGCCCUCUGUCAGUUCCGGUUUAUUAAACUGCUGAAACUUGAGGAUGAUAUCGGCACCCUAAGGCUCGCCGUUUCAAAGUUCUGAAAACAGUAUUGGCACCGUAAGGCACCGCCACCGGAGCUUUGAAAGUAGUUUCGGCACCCUAAGGCACGCCGUGCUGGAGCUCGACGACAAUAUCGGCACCCUAAGGCACGCCGUGUCGGAGCUUGAAGAUGAUACGGCACCCUAAGGCACGCCGUGCAGGAGCUCGACGACAAUAUCGGCACCCUAAGGCACGCCGUGUCGGAGCAUAUAUGAUAUACCGUAGGGUAUCUGUCGCUGGAGGCCUGCAUCAAUUGAGGACAGCAAAGGAAAGGUGCAGAUCGGUGAAAGGCUCACCUCCUCUUUCUUGCUUUCUUCCUCUCCUUGGCUGCUAUCCUCUUCACGUCCCUCUGGUCCUCUCCUUUUUUUUCUUUUCAUGUAGUGCUUUUAUAUUGCACCGAUCUUGAGUUUGGUUUGUAUAAAGAGUUCAACUUGGAGUGAACUACUUGGGGAACUUGUAUUCCGUGAAGACUACAACUCUUGUAUUUUUGUAAUUGCUUUGUAAUCUAGAUUUUGACAAAACAAGAAGUCUGACGUCUUGUAAAAAUCCAAUAGACCAGCUUAAUGACUCUUGUGCCUUUUCCUUUUGCUUAGAGUUUUAAAAGCUAUCAACUUUGUCCA